rnacentral:rRNA from 1 species
UACGGAGGGUGCAAGCGUUGUUCGGAAUUAUUGGGCGUAAAGCGCGUGUAGGCGGUCAUUUAAGUCUGAUGUGAAAGCCCUGGGCUCAACCCGGGAAGUGCAUUGGAAACUGGAUGACUUGAAUACGGGAGAGGGAAGUGGAAUUUCGAGUGUAGGGGUGAAAUCCGUAGAUAUUCGAAGGAACACCGGUGGCGAAGGCGGCUUCCUGGACCGAUAUUGACGCUGAGACGCGAAAGCGUGGGGAGCAAACAGG